GGGGAUAAUUGUAGGACUUACUGUGAAUUUGUAAUACAGCCAGUCUUGCAUUUAUUCCACU
rnacentral:pre_miRNA from 1 species